GAAAUGCGAUAAGUAAUGUGAAUUGCAGAAUUCAGUGAAUCAUCGAAUCUUUGAACGCACAUUGCGCCCGCCAGUAUUCUGGCGGGCAUGCCUGUUCGAGCGUCAUUACAACCCUCAGGCCCCCGGGCCUGGCGUUGGGGAUCGGCGGAAGCCCCCUGCGGGCACAACGCCGUCCCCCAAAUACAGUGGCGGUCCCGCCGCAGCUUCCAUUGCGUAGUAGCUAACACCUCGCAACUGGAGAGCGCCGCGGCCACGCCGUAAAACACCCAACUUCUGAAUGUUGACCUCGAAUCAGGUAGGAAUACCCGCUGAACUUAAGC
rnacentral:misc_RNA from 1 species